rnacentral:lncRNA from 1 species
UGUGCACCACCCUCUCACCCACAUGAAGGCAGCUGGCCCUGAAGUUCUCUGAGCUUGAGGACAAAAAAAGCCCUCUGUGAGUUGUCAGGCUCUGUUACAGUCUGGGUCAGCGGACAAGAGUCCCAGGGCUCGGCCAUCUUCUCUAGGAGAGAAAAUAUUCAUGCCAUAUAGCGUGUUCUAAGAGUUCUCACCAGAAGCCCAGGAAGUUCUGUAUUUACUCAGCAUUCAAGGGGGAAAACAGACCCUGUAUUUUUGGGAUUCCUGAAAGGUGACCAGGAGGAAUAUCCACAGAAGCAGAAGUAGGAAUGGGGAAGGAGGGGACAAGUUUAGACCAAGCUCUUCUGUGACCUCACUUCUGCUUUUGAAGUCCUACAGCUCUAUAAGGCUUGGAUCUCCUGACCUUGGCCUGGACCUGGAUCUGGGAGGCUGACUCUAUUGACCAUGGAGAAGGAGCUAACAGGAU